rnacentral:rRNA from 1 species
CCUACGGGUGGCAGCAGUGAGGAAUAUUGGUCAAUGGACGAGAGUCUGAACCAGCCAAGUAGCGUGAAGGAUGACUGCCCUAUGGGUUGUAAACUUCUUUUAUAAGGGAAUAAAAUGUUCCACGUGUGGGUUUUUGUAUGUACCAUAUGAAUAAGGAUCGGCUAACUCCGUGCCAGCAGCCGCGGUAAUACGGAGGAUCCGAGCGUUAUCCGGAUUUAUUGGGUUUAAAGGGAGCGUAGGUGGGUUGUUAAGUCAGUUGUGAAAGUUUGCGGCUCAACCGUAAAAUUGCAGUUGAAACUGGCAGUCUUGAGUACAGUAGAGGUGGGCGGAAUGCGUGGUGUAGCGGUGAAAUGCUUAGAUAUCACGAAGAACUCCGAUUGCGAAGGCAGCUCACUGGACUGCAACUGACACUGAGGCUCGAAAGUGUGGGUAUCAAACAGGAUUAGAUACCCCAGUAGUC